UGAUGGUUGGUUGUCCUUUUCCAGGU
rnacentral:piRNA from 1 species